CAAUAGCGUAUAUUUAAGUUGUUGCAGUUAAAAAGUUCGUAGUCGGAUUUUGGCUGAGAACGAUCGGUCCGCCGUUAGGUGUGCACUGAUUGGUCUCAGCUUCCUGGUGAGGAGGUGUGCUUCACGGCCACUUAGUCACCGUGGUUACUUUGAAAAAAUUAGAGUGUUCAAAGCGGGCUUACGCUUGAAUAUAUUAGCAUGGAAUAACACCAUAGGACUCCUGUCCUAUUUCGUUGGUCUCGGGACGGGAGUAAUGAUUAAGAGGAACAGUUGGGGGCAUUCGUAUUUCAUUGUCAGAGGUGAAAUUCUUGGAUUUAUGAAAGACGAACUUCUGCGAAAGCAUUUGCCAAGGAUGUUUUCAUUGA
rnacentral:rRNA from 1 species